CAAAUUGGCUUCCCGAGGAAACAGACUCAAACGAAGGCGACUCAAUAGACACCGUGGAUGAAUAUAGUUCAAACGAAACAGAUGCAGAGGAAAGCAGAUCAACUUUGACAAAGAAGAGAAGAUUGUCUUAACUAUGGCGAGAGUAUGGGAUCCACUCGCACCGACCUAUUAUGUGUGUUGGCUUGUCAAACAUUCCUUUCGAAUCGGUCACAACUUGCUGAGGAAGUGAUUCUAGAAGAAGCGAACGUGGUAGUAUUAAUCUAAUUGUCUCAAAGAUCAAAAGGUCUAUAUAGGGAAGAUGACUUAAUGUCUCUGCUGUUGUUAUUCAGAUUGAAUUGGGUGGGUACAAAGUCUCGUGUCAUAACUGGUGGCUUCUUUGAACAGUAAUGUUUUGAGCUUGCAGCAGGCUGCUCACCGGUUUUUGUGCCAUUAACAAAAUUUAUAGAGGGAUGUCUACAACUAAAUUUUUUUGCCUCGAAGGACUCAUUCGAGGGCUUCAUUUAGAUGGAUAAAUCGUACGGUUCAUGGAAAUAGGGAUCGUAUUUAAUGUUGCGCGAAACAGGGAUCUGUCCUGGAGCGCAACAACAAGGCAUUAUAUUAAUAUUGUCCAAUAUGGAUCAGGUUUUUGCACGUUUGCCUCAA